AGCCGGCUGCAGGUCACAGACUUUACCGCGGAGGAGGCGCUUCGGUGGUUCUGGAGAUCCUGAAACGAAUCGACAGCAGCGCAGAGAGAACGCUACAGGUGGACAGUCCUCAAAACGUGGUUCCAGUGACGCUGGAGCAUCUGGUGGAUGUACAAUGGCAGACGG